rnacentral:rRNA from 1 species
UUGAACGCUGGCGGUCGGCCUAACACAUGCAAGUCGAACGGCAGCACAGUAAGAGCUUGCUCUUACGGGUGGCGAGUGGCGGACGGGUGAGGAAUACAUCGGAAUCUACUUUUUCGUGGGGGAUAACGUAGGGAAACUGACGCUAAUACCGCAUACGACCUACGGGUGAAAGCAGGGGAUCUUCGGACCUUGCGCGAUUGAAUGAGCCGAUGUCGGAUUAGCUAGUUGGCGGGGUAAAGGCCCACCAAGGCGACGAUCCGUAGCUGGUCUGAGAGGAUGAUCAGCCACACUGGAACUGAGACACGGUCCAGACUCCUACGGGAGGCAGCAGUGGGGAAUAUUGGACAAUGGGCGCAAGCCUGAUCCAGCCAUACCGCGUGGGUGAAGAAGGCCUUCGGGUUGUAAAGCCCUUUUGUUGGGAAAGAAAAGCAGCAGGUUAAUACCCCGCUGUUCUGACGGUACCCAAAGAAUAAGCACCGGCUAACUUCGUG